UACAUGGGGUGCAAACGUUGCUCGGAAUCAUUGGGCGUAAAGCGCGCGUAGGCGGUUGCUUAAGUCGGAUGUGAAAGCCCUCGGCUUAACUGAGGAAGUGCAUCCGAAACUGAGCAGCUAGAGUACGAAAGAGGGUCGCGGAAUUCCCGGUGUAGAGGUGAAAUUCGUAGAUAUUCGCAAGAACACCAGUGGCGAAGGCGGCUUACUGGUCCGGAACUGACGCUGAGGUGGCGAAAGCGUGGGGAGCAAACAGG
rnacentral:rRNA from 1 species